CUCUAUACAAUAACACUCCACUCACUCACUUCUUUGACUGUUAAAUUACCAAAAAAUUAAAACUAAAUCAAUUCAAUCCAGAAACACCCUCAGAUCCUCUCUCUUACAAAAUUAUCCGAAUCUAAUUUCUGGGCUCUGCCUGUUUUUGCCUUGGAAUUUGAAUUAUGUGUCAAGAAAUUGAAUGCAUUGAUUGUUUUUAGCAGCAUCAGUUUUGUUCAGUGUCACCGACACAAGUUUUUGGCUCUGUUAAUGGCUUCUCCUGGCUCUGCAUUGUGGAACUUGAACUGGUUUUUCUUUCAAUCUCCGGAGUGGCUAGCGUCUGUAUUGAGCUGAAAAGGUUACAUUAGAGCCUUUUCAUUGCGGACGAAAGGGAAGUGGGAAAAUACAAGUAUUUUGAAUACUGCUUAUUUCCUAAAAGAACUGUUGGUCUAUGGAAGACCAUUCGAGACCGAAACUAAAUUCUCUAGACCAGAAAUCAUCAGAAAGUACUAAUUCUGCAUCAACUCGAGGAAGGCAAAGCUUGAAUUUGGAUGACAGGUUCAAGCCUGAAAAGUCAACAUUUUCAUUUAAUGAUCUUCAUCAUCAAAACACAAAAAGUACAAGAGAUAUCUCACCUAAACGUAGGAAUUUCCUGAAGCAACAUAGAAAGGCAGCUCGAGAUGAGGAGCUUGUUAAGUAUAUGUCUAAUUUGCCGAGUUAUCUAGAGAGAGGAGAACAUCGGCAGGAGAAAGUUUUAAAUGUCGGGGUCCUCGACUGGGGACGGUUAGAGAAGUGGCAGUGUAGCCAGGAACAGAUAUGUCGGAGAAGUAGCAGGCAUUCACUUUCGAGUGGCAACACGUUCUCUUCCCUGUCAACAGAAUGUUCGUCAGUCAACUCUAGUAGCAGUCAGAGUUACUCUUCUUCUGAUCAAAGGUCGCGUCGCCCAUCACUGCAAUUCCAUUUGAUGUCAUCUCCCUCAGAAGUCCGACCACAAAAUGUCAAAUCAUUUCAAGACGGUAUUCAAAAGUAUCAACAUGUCAAAAGUUCCCAGACCAAGAUCAUGAAUGAGCAAGAAAAGAUCGUUGGGACAGAUAAACUGUUUUUGCAAAACAAUUCUGAAAUGAAACUGAAAAAGUGCAGUGGAAAGGAUUUGGAUUCAAAAAACAACAUAGAAAGUAAAACUUUUGAAGGAUCAAAGUUGGAAGCAAUACAGAGGAUAAAGACGACUACCGGAGAUGGUGAAUGUAUUAAGACGGUUAAUAAACUUCUAGGACAGAAGGCAUAUACUACUGAGAAAGAUAUCGCCGAAAAAAUUAACAGUGUACAUCUGCAUCCGCAAGAUCACUCCCAAGGCGAUUGUUCCCAGAUCUCUAAGGCAACAAUGUUAGGCUGUAAGGAAGCAGAAGCAAGUCGACGGAGUUCUGCAGAGAUGCAAGAGAGUAGCACUGGAGUGCUCAGUUCCGGUGUCCCACACUCUUGCCCAUUAAUUUGCAAGAAUAAUGUAUGCGCAGAGAUAAAACGGCGCUUCUCUGAGGCAGAAAGUAUCAGCUUUUUGCCUAAUUCAUCUCAGUCAAUAGCCCGUCCAGUGAAGAGAGGAAUUAGUCCGUCCCGUGGCAGUAUAUCAGAAAUUAAAAAAUCAAGUGUAGCACCAAUAACUUCAACUUCAAAAACACUUUCCACAGAUUUGGAGCUAAAACCAAGCAAAACGGCUGCUGAAAAACCGAGAAGUACUUCACCUUUUCUCCGACGUAGCAUUGGCUUAGGCAAGAUAAUCAAAAGUUUCAAUUCCAAAGAGGAUUUAAAUCUUCCACAAUUGAACACAGCCCAAAAUUUCGCAAAAUCUGCCUCAAGUGAUGUGCAAAAUGCUACAAGCAGAGCCAGGUCAAGCCCUCUGAGGAGGUUACUGGACCCGUUAUUAAAAGCUAAGGAACCAAACUGCUAUCAAUAUGGGGAACAAUUGCCAAGAGAUUCAGUAUCAACAGAUAAAGCCUGUAAGUCAUCAAGAGGGCUAGUAGAUUCUACAAAUGGAGCAAGACAGCCUGGGAUUAUAAAAUUGGAUAUAAGGAGUUGUAAGGAAGUCAAAGUUGAUGACUCAUUUCAGGAAAAGAAGCGUGAUCCAUCGGCAGUUCAAGCUUUUCUACAAAUUGCCUCUAAGAAUGGCCAACCUCUUUUCACAUUUGCAGUGGGCAAUGAACGGAAAAUUCUUGCAGCCACGAUGAAGAAUUUGGGUAGCUCGAGAGAGGGUGAUUACAGCUGCAUAUACACGUUCUUUUCUGUAAAAGAGGUCAGGAAAAAGAACGGUAGGUGGAUAAACCAAGGUGGAAAAGAUAAAAGUCAUGAAUAUAUUCCUGAUGUAAUAGCUCAGUUGAAGGUUUCCGGCACUCAGUUAUCCGAAUCUUUUGCUAGAGAAUUCGUUUUGUUUUCUGUGGAUCUAAGUCAAGCAGCGCAGCAAACAUUAGACCUCCAGCCAAACAAUGAGCUUGCUGCCAUUGUUGUCAAGAUCCCGAAAGCCACUAACAAAGGCGCAUGCGGAGAUGGGGAUCGGACUAGUAAGCGCAAUGAUUUUCCAGAGUCUGGGGAACAUUGCAUGAUCAGCCAGAGUCUUAUCAGUACGACGCUCAUUCUUCCAAGUGCCAUUCAUAGCCUACCAAAUAAGGGAGGGCCUUCAUCGUUGAUCCAACGGUGGAGAUCAGGUGGUUCAUGUGACUGUGGCGGUUGGGACUUGGGCUGCAAACUUAGGAUAUUUGGCAAUGACAGUCAACACAUUAAGAUAUCAAGUUCAUCCAAAGCAUGCUCGAUAUCAGAUAAAUUUGAGCUAAUCUCUCAGGGAGGAGAAGAAGAGAUUCAGCGUGUCUUUAGUUUAACUCCGUACAAGGACGGGAUCUAUUCGGUCCAGUUCAUCUCAUCACUUUCAGUUUUACAAGCAUUCUCUUUGUGCAUAGCAGUUCUCGACAGUAAAAAACUUUGCAAGACCUUUGCUACUUCCCUUGAAACCAUAACAGCACAAAACAACGGAAUAAAGGCAACACCAAAUGGAAUUAACGGCGAGUUGCCUGCAAGAUACGUUUCGAAUCCACCCCAUUCUCCGGUCGGAAGGGUCUAGUUUCGGGAGGGAUGGUCUUGUAUUUAGAUGUAGUACAGAUAGAUAAAUAGUCAGUUUGACAUAAAUGGAAAAUAAGUGCAGAAUCUCCAAGAAGGCUGAAAGCAUUUAUUUGUCUAUGAGCUGGUCCCGAUAGUGCUGGAGCUAAUGCUGAAAACAGGCUUAGCUCGUCUAGCAAGCACUCCAACCGUGAGUUUUUGGCUCGAGGAGCAUCUUUGGUCGAGGUAGGACUUGAGGUUUGCUCGAGGUAAGCUCAAGCAGACACAAAAAUGUCAGUUUUUCUUAGUUCGAUCACCUAUUCGAAUGAUCUUUGAUCUGGCACGCCUCGUAUAUGAAUUGGCCUUCGGCAGCUUGUCAUUGAAUUCUACUAAUUUUGCAUGAUGGGUUUGUAUGAAUGAACCAAACAUAGUAAGGUUUACAGUUUUAUAUUGAGAAUAGCAUCAGCAUGUGCUUAAAUUGUUUUCA